GGCGAACGCUGGCGGCAGGCCUAACACAUGCAAGUCGAACGGAUCCUUCGGGAUUAGUGGCGGACGGGUGAGUAACACGUGGGAACGUGCCCUUUGGUUCGGAACAACUCAGGGAAACUUGAGCUAAUACCGGAUGUGCCCUUCGGGGGAAAGAUUUAUCGCCAUUGGAGCGGCCCGCGUCUGAUUAGCUAGUUGGUGAGGUAACGGCCCACCAAGGCGACGAUCAGUAGCUGGUCUGAGAGGAUGAUCAGCCACACUGGGACUGAGACACGGCCCAGACUCCUACGGGAGGCAGCAGUGGGGAAUCUUGCGCAAUGGGCGAAAGCCUGACGCAGCCAUGCCGCGUGAAUGAUGAAGGUCUUAGGAUUGUAAAAUUCUUUCAGCGGGGACGAUAAUGACGGUACCCGCAGAAGAAGCUCCGGCUAACUUCGUG
rnacentral:rRNA from 1 species